rnacentral:rRNA from 1 species
GAUGAACGCUGGCGGCGUGCCUAAUACAUGCAAGUCGAACGCACCAUUUCGGUGGUGAGUGGCGAACGGGUGAGUAACACGUAGGUAACCUGCCCUUGACACUGGGAUAACACCUGGAAACAGGUGCUAAUACCGGAUAUGAACUUCCUCGGCAUCGAGGAGGUUGUAAAGCUCCGGCGGUCAAGGAUGGACUCGCGGCCUAUCAGCUUGUUGGUGAGGUAACGGCUCACCAAGGCUUCGACGGGUAGCCGGCCUGAGAGGGCGACCGGCCACAUUGGGACUGAGAUACGGCCCAAACUCCUACGGGAGGCUG